UAAGAUUAUUAGGUUGCCUAGCAACAUAGGCAAGUUACCCUUCCCGGGCCUUUUCCUUCACUGUUCGGCGUCCUAUUUCAACUCAUAACUCUAAAGUGACUUGUGUUCAUCCUCUGCAAUAAUAAUUAAAGGCAUUACAGAUACCUCCCUUACAGUCUGUCUAAUUUUUGAAGUAAAAUAAUAUUGAUAACUAUGGAAUACAAAAGAAGUAAUACCAGAAUUAACUAUUACCAACUAUUCUAUACAUUAUUAUGGAGGGCACGCAACAUAAAUGACUCCGAUGACAGAUUUGGUGACUGAUUUAUAAUCAAUUCAAAGUUUUUGCAAAGACCUUCGUUUUGUACCUUUUUCUUUACAGUUCAAUGAUUGGCACAUUUAAAUGUGAUAUGAAAGCAAA